UACGAAGGGGGGCUAGCGUUGCUCGGAAUGACUGGGCGUAAAGGGCGCGUAGGCGGCUCAUACAGUCAGGCGUGAAAAUUCCUGGGCUCAACCUGGGGACUGCGCUUGAGACGUGUGGGCUUGAGUGGGGAAGAGGGUCGUGGAAUUCCCAGUGUAGAGGUGAAAUUCGUAGAUAUUGGGAAGAACACCGGUGGCGAAGGCGGCGACCUGGUCCUUGACUGACGCUGAGGCGCGAAAGCGUGGGGAGCAAACAGG
rnacentral:rRNA from 1 species